rnacentral:rRNA from 1 species
AGCGAACGCUGGCGGCAGGCUUAACACAUGCAAGUCGAGCGGGCAUCCUUGUGGUGUCAGCGGCAGACGGGUGAGUAACGCGUGGGAACGUGCCCUUCGGUUCGGAAUAACUCAGGGAAACUUGAGCUAAUACCGGAUACGUGCGAGAGCAGAAAGGUUUAUCUGCCGAAGGAUCGGCCCGCGUCUGAUUAGCUAGUUGGUGAGGUUACGGCUCACCAAGGCGACGAUCAGUAGCUGGUCUGAGAGGAUGAUCAGCCACACUGGGACUGAGACACGGCCCAGACUCCUACGGGAGGCAGCAGUGGGGAAUAUUGGACAAUGGGGGCAACCCUGAUCCAGCCAUACCGCGUGAGUGAUGACGGCCUUAGGGUUGUAAAGCUCUUUUCUCCGGGACGAUAAUGACGGUACCGGAGGAAUAAGCCCCGGCUAACUUCGUG